UACGUAGGCGCAGCGUAUCGAUUGAUCUGGGCGUAAAGAGUGUGUAGGCGGUGUUCCCAGUCUGUUGUGAAAUCUCCCGGCUUAACUGGGAGGGUGCAGCGGAACUAGAAUGCUAGAGGGUGGGAGAGGUAAGCGGAAGUUCCUGGUGUAGCGGUGAAAUGCGUAGAUAUCAGGAGGAACACCUGUGGUGUAGACAGCUUACUGGACCACUUCUGACGCUGAGACACGAAAGCGUGGGUAGCAAACAGG
rnacentral:rRNA from 1 species